UGAUUGGGGUGAAGUCGUAACAAGGUAGCCGUAGGAGAACCUGCGGCUGGAUCACCUCCUUUCUAAGGAGA
rnacentral:rRNA from 3 species